GAACUUAAGCAUAUCAAUAAGCGGAGGAAAAGAAACUAACAAGGAUUCCCCUAGUAACUGCGAGUGAAGCGGGAAAAGCUCAAAUUUAAAAUCUGGCGGUCUCUGGCUGUCCGAGUUGUAAUCUAGAGAAGUGUUAUCCGCGCUGGACCGUGUACAAGUCUCCUGGAAUGGAGCGUCACAGAGGGUGAGAAUCCCGUCUUUGACACGGACUGCCAGGGCUUUGUGAUGCGCUCUCAAAGAGUCGAGUUGUUUGGGAAUGCAGCUCAAAAUGGGUGGUAAAUUCCAUCUAAAGCUAAAUAUUGGCGAGAGACCGAUAGCGAACAAGUACCGUGAGGGAAAGAUGAAAAGAACUUUGGAAAGAGAGUUAAACAGUACGUGAAAUUGCUGAAAGGGAAACGCUUGAAGUCAGUCGCGUUGGCCGGGGAUCAACCUUGCUUUUGCUGGGCGUACUUUCCGGUCGACGGGUCAGCAUCAAUUUUGACCGUUGGAUAAAGUCUAGGGGAAUGUAGCAUCUUCGGAUGUGUUAUAGCCCUUGGUCACAUACGACGAUUGGGAUUGAGGAACUCAGCACGCCGCAAGGCCGGGUACUUGUACCACGUUCGUGCUUAGGAUGCUGGCAUAAUGGCUUUAAUCGACCCGUCUUGAAACACGGACCAAGGAGUCUAACAUGCCUGCGAGUGUUUGGGUGGAAAACCCGGACGCGUAAUGAAAGUGAAAGUUGAGAUCCCUGUCGUGGGGAGCAUCGACGCCCGGACCAGAGCUUUUGUGACGGAUCCGCGGUAGAGCAUGUAUGUUGGGACCCGAAAGAU
rnacentral:rRNA from 1 species